ensembl:lncRNA
GUGCUGUGCAGAGUCCUCCCAGAUCACACUUCCCCUUGCUAAGCUGCUUACAAGCUGUGGUUACCAGCCACGCUCUGAGCACUGAUGUCUUUAUCGAGGACUUCUCCCCAUGUGGGGGUCCUGCAGCAGUGUUCUGGCUGCAACAGGAGCAGCCUGCAGCGUUCCUGGCUGAUCAGUGCAGAGCGUUUCCAAAAUGCUGAGCGUGUUUCUGUUGGAAUCCAGGCGUGUCCCCAUUUCCCCAAACUCAGUUCCUCUCACACCUCAUUUUAGAACUCUCCCCAGACAACAGCUGGGCUUCCUACUGAGAUCCCAGUUCCUCCUUGUGGUUCUCUUUCCCCAGCACGCUCAGCACUGCCAUGGGUGAGAGCUGUGCAUGUGCUGCUCUCGUUGCUCUGCAUGCACGUGCAGUUCCCUUUGCAGCACACAUGUGGUGUCCUGGUGGAGAUGCAGACGUGAAGGACCAGAGCUUUGUGAGUGCUGCCCCUCUGCUUUGUCUCACUUUUCCUCCCCGUGCACUGUGUGCAUCUCCGAGGCAGAGGGACGGUGCCACUCUCUUAUCCAAGUAUUUUGGGGAGGGUUUGUGCUCUGUGUCCUCUGCCCAACAGCUGUGUGGUGCUGGUGAAGAAGUGAAAUUAAAUGUGGGCUUUGGUCACGCUUGGAAUUCUAAUCUGUGUUUCACUUUUGUUUCCUGUUUUCAUAGGAAUUGCUCAGAACAUCAGUGGUUGGGAGGAAUGGAGGAGAGCACUGGACGCUCAUUCUGCAGGUGCUGCUAAGCUCGGGACUCCGGGGUUGCUCCGGGCACUGGGGCUGGAGAUGAGCUUCAAGCUCCAAAAAGUCGUUGGUUGGCUUUGGAGGUUCCCUUGCUGAAGGACAGCCCGGCCGUGAAUCACCGCAGCCCUCGAGUUAGCUGAGAUGGGACCGAAUCUUUAAUUUUCAGGAUUACAUUCCUUAGCAUUCCCUCAUCUGUAAACAGGAAAAUCUUUAGCAUAUGUGGUAAGUAAUUAGGGCGAAUGGUGAGGAGGCAUUGAUGGUAUGUUUUCAGUGCUGGCCAACGUGUACUUCCAUUGCAAGUCCCACGUCUUCCAUUGGGAAACAAGGCUAAGGGGUUCUUUGACCUCACAUCCUUGUCCUAGAGCUGUUACAGAGCAUUUCCCUGCUCCCUGGGACAGGCGGGUGCUCCUUUUGUUCCUCUGCGCCGUGAAGAUUCCAGCUGGGUUUCUCCUUCUCCAUCAUGAGAUGGCCACGCUCAGUCCAGCUCAGCUCCCGGGCAGCAUAGGACCACGUUGGCUGUGGGAUGCCACAUCCCAGCACGGAGCACAUGGCAUCAGGAUGCUGCCUGGUGUGCCAGCCCCAUCUGCACCUCGCUGACCCACCGGUGGGGCCGAAGGGACGGGAAUGCUCUGCCACAUGGGAGUUUCCCAUUUGGAAAAGUCUCAGGAAGCAUGGAGGAAAUCACAUGGCUUGGGAGCGCUUACCUCACUGCUCUGUCUCAUCCAACGCAGCAGCUUUCAUCAAAGCAUGCAGGACCUGAACAAUGCAGUGCCAGCUGGCUUAUAAAUAAACGUGCUUCCGUUUCCACGCCGGCACCAGGAUAGCUUUAAUACCACAUGAGGGGAAAGGAAGAGCGUCACGUUGUCGGCUUGUGACCUUUGAGCUCAAACCAUCGGGCUGUAAUGGAUAACUCCUCCACAUCUCCUUCUGAGCACAACCCAGAAAUGAUCACCUCUGUGGGCAGCUCCGUGUGGUUUUCACACUCAUUCCUCGUUCUGCCAACCCGCUGAGCUUGGCUGGCAAACAGAUGGUGAUGGAGGACGUCCAGAGUUGGCUGUCCCCUCUUCUCCUCCCUUCAGCCCCAGUGAGACACUCCCGUGAGCAUUGGGAAUUCCCAUUGGUAUUUCAAGCUGGAGCAUUUUUGGGCUUCCUGCAGUGACUGCUGAUGGGUUGGGAAGGAAAACGCCCAGUAUCGCUGGGCUCGCACCGCCGGCUCCGUCUGCAGGGCUGGGAUAAUGCAAGAGUCCUUAAUGUGCCCAUGGCUGAAUCAUGGGACGUCAGUGCCUGAGUCACUGCAGAUGAAUGCGGUGUUUCACGUCGGUGCGAACUGAAAUGUGAACAACAGUGUCUCUAUUAGAGCAGCUAAUAAUACUUGUGCUCAUUAUGGGUUUCAUUCGAUUUUUAAAGUGAAACAAUCAGGAAGAGUUCCUCCUGCAGUGUGUAUGGACUGAGCGGGAGUGCUGCGGUGCUGGGUCUUAAUGGGAUGCUGCUCUGAGUGGAGAGGAAAGGAAGCUUUGGAGGGGAGCACCUAUGUGACACGUCCUUGCUCCAAGUGUGGCUCUUCUUUCACCUGGAUGUGCUUGGCUGGGGGCUGAGCUGUGCAGCCCUGGCGUGGUUCUGUCUGUGGGCAGCCCCAGAUUUGUACCAUGCCAUACGUGGGGGAGCAGUGGGCUGCUCCCAUGCUGUGCUGAGGCAGGUGUCCACGUUAAAGCUGACGUUGCUUUUGGGUCAGAUUUCUGCUGUUCUGUGCGCUGCUGUCCUCCUCCUGGUGUUCCUCCCCCUGAAAGAAGAGCUGCAGCUGCUAUUCCUCGAGUGUCUGAAGCCCAAACCGAAGCUGCCUGUCUGCAGAUCUUUGCUCCUCGAGCAGCACAGCUCUGCAAGCAUCUGUGAGCAACGUUGCUGAAGUCUCGUUGAUGGUUCACGAGACCUCAUCAGCGAUGCAGGGACGUGGCAGUGGUUUGCUGCCCGCUUUUGUACACUCACAGCCCUGAGAGUCACUGAAGCGCUGAAUCUCUGUGGCCGUGCCAUCUCAUGGGCUGCCCCACUGCAAAUGGAAACACAGUGGUUUAAACCUUCCAUUGAAUCCUAAAGGUGUUUUACUGAUGUAGAAGCA